UUUUUCAUCUUUUCUACAAGGUCUUUCAUUAGGGUCAGAUUGGGUUUGUAUAUAUUUUGUUGAAUGCUUCAGUGCUGCUUACAUUUCUCCCGUAAAAUGGAAAUUUAACAUUUUUGAAAAUAAAGUAAAUUUUUGUAUGUGAUGGCUUGCUGGUAUAUACACUUAAACCAAAGUAAGGUUUGUUGCUUUUUUUUCUGUAGCCAAAAUACCUUUUACUAUUUUUCUUCUAAUCCUAGUUUGUAAUUUUCUGGCUCCCCCACUAGCUUGAUGUUCUUUAGGGAUACCAAGGAUGUCUUUCAUUCUGUGCAUUUCUUUUCCAGCACUAUGCUUUGGUUGGUACCUAGCAAAUGUUUGUGGAGCUGAAAAUUGCUCUUAUUAAAUAUUUUUUAGGGGCACUUGGCUGGCUCAGUCAGUAGAGCCUGUGACUCUUUUUUUUUUUUUUUAAUAUUUGUUUAUCCUUAGAGAGGGAGAACACGAGCAGGGAAGGGGCAGAGAGGGAGACACAGAAUCCAAAGCAGGCUCCAGGCUCUGAGCUGUCAGCACAGAGUCCGAUGUGGGACUUGAACUCACGAACUAUGAGAUGAUGACCUGAACCAAAGUCGGACACUUAACCAGCUGAGCCCCCCAGGCGCCCCAGAGGGUGUGAGUCUUGAUCUCAGUGUUGUGAGUUUGAGCCAGACCUUGGUUAUAGAUAUUACUUAAAAGAAUAAAGUCUUAAAAAUAAAUAAUUAUUAAGUGUGAAGGAAUAUUUGCAACAGUGGUUUUGUAGAUAAACCUGGUCUCAAAUUGGCACUCCAGCAUUAAUGCUAAUACCUUGGGAGUGCAUUCAUCCAUAAAAUAAAUCUAAUGGGAGGGCACCUGGGUGGCGCAGUUGGUUAAGUGUCCCAAGACUUGGUUUCCGUUCAGGUCAUGAUCUGGGGGGUCAUGGGAUCAAACCCGGGGUCAGGCUCUGUGCUGACAGAGCAAUUCGGAGCCUGCUUGGGAUUUUCUCUUUCCCUCACUCUGCCCCUCCCCUGCUCGCUCGCUCUCUGUCUCUCUCUGCCUCUCUCUCUCUCUGUCUCUCUCAAAAUAAAUAUUAAAAAUAAUUUCUUUUUCUGAAUCAGCCAGCCCUAAGUUGUUUUGAAGAUUAAAUUGAACAGGGUACAUAAAGUGCAAAUACACAGCAAGUGCCAAGAAUGUUAGUUUUUUGCUAGUCUUUAUAUAUCUUGAAAGAUUAAAAUGUUUUGAUACUAAAUUUUUUUUUAAGUUUAUUUUUUGGGAGAGAGAGAAUCCCAGGCAGGCUCCAUGCCAACGGCACAGAGCCCAACACGGAGUUUGAACCCACAAACUGUGAGAUCAUGACCUGAGUUGGAUGCUUAACCAACUGAGCCACACAGGCACCCCUUGAUACUAAAUAUUUUAUAAUUGGUAAUAAUUUUAUUCUUUCAGUUUGGAGUUCUGUCCAGACAUGACACCUGAGAUAAUAGAAGUUUGUUCUCCUUUCCUCCCAGUUGCCAUGUAAAAAAAAUUGGGUCGUUUAGAAAAGCUAAAACUUGGUUGUAAGAGAAAUUUCAGAACUAGGAAUUACCAUUUUAUAUUUGUAAACUAUGUAUGUUAUUUUGAGUUUUCUAUGAUGAAUAGAAAUUUAAUGUUCCAAGAAGAAAUUUCUUGAAUUGCUCUGUCAGCAUUUCAGCCCUUCAUGUGCCUUGUGAAUAGAACUAUUUUCAUUCUAUCCAACUUCAUCCUGAAACAUAAGGUAUCUGCUUUAUUCAGUUCUUAACCUACCAGUUGUGAUACUCAGGAAAAAUGUGUCAAACAAAACCCAAAGUGAAACCAUUUUCUAUUAUUUGUAUGGCUUCUAUAGCUAUUAGAGUAGAUACUCAAGAAUUUUCCUUUUUUUUUUUUAGAUGAUUUUAAAGAAUUUUACCUUUAUCACUAGAAACAUGCCACAUUUCUUUCCACAGAAAUGAAGUAUAAAUCUUAAGUUGUUAAAGUAUGUUUUUAUAAUACAGUAGAGCACCUUGGUGGCUCAGUUGGUUGGUCAAGCCUUCAACUCUUGAUUUUGGCUCAGGUCAUGCCCCCCCAUCGGGCUCUGUGCUGACAGGGCACAGCCUGCUUUGGAUUCUCUCUCUCCCUUUCUCUCUCUCUGCUCCUCCCCUAUACUGAUCACGAGAGUUCUCUCUUAAAAUAAAUAAACUUAAAUAAUACAGUACAGCAAGCAUAGCUAAUAUUUUCAUGCAGAAGAAUAUUAUGGUAAUAUGCAUAUGAAAUUAAGAAAAAUUCAGGGGCACCUGGGUGGCUCAGUCAGUUGGGUGUCCAACUUCGGCUCAGGUCAUGAUCUCGCGGUCUGUGGGUUCGAGCCCCGCGUCGGGCUCUGUGCUGACAGCUCAGAGCCUGGAGCCUGUUUCAGAUUCUGUGUCACCCUCUUUCUCUGACCCUCCCCUGUUCAUGCUCUCUCUCUCUGUCUCAAAAAUAAAUAAAUGUUAAAAAAAAUUAAAAAAAAAAAACAAUUCAGAGUGAGCUCUGAAGUUAGAUUAGUUGACUACUAUGAUAGUCAUUGAUAUUUCAGCAUCAUCUAGGAAAGGGUAAUGUAGCUCCACUGAUGAGUGUCAGAAGUCUGUAAAUUGGCUAAAAUUCUACACUCAGGUGUGUUUUCCUGGAAGAGGGUCCAUAGUUUUUAUUAUAUUUAUUGUUAGUAGUUUCUGUAACCAAAAGGAUUGAAACACUGUUCAAACGAUGUUUUGAGGCAAUAGUAGACUUGUUAGAAAAAUAAUAGUUACUGUUUGAAGCUUAUCAAGUUAAGUUUAUACCUAAGAAAUAAUUUUCUACCUAAUGUAGUUGAUUUGCACUAUAAAUUCUGUGGCACCAUCCAUUAAAGGUAAGCCUAUUGAGGUUUCAGCAGCCAGCACCCCUUUCAGUAAAAGACUGCUAAGGACUAUGGCUUCAAAGAAUGUCCUGGUUUUAUUUUAUUAUUUUUUUUUAAUUUUUUUUUUAAUGUUUGUUUAUUUUGAGAUAGAGACAGAGCAUGAACAGGGGAGGGGCAGAGAGAGAGGGAGACACAGAAUCUGAAACAGGCUCCAGGCUCUGAGGUGUCAGCACAGAGCCCGAAGCAGGGCUCGAACUCACGGACCGUGAGAUCAUGACCUGAGCCGAAGUCGGACACUUAACCAACCAAGCCACCCAGGCGCCCCAAGAAUGUCCUGGUUUUAAAUAGCUGUAUCAUCUCAAUAGUAGUCUGGGUUAUGGUCCUAUGAAGCUUUUGUUUAUUUAUUUAUUUUUUUUAAGAUUAAGCAAGUUUACAUAAUAUUAGGACUUUAUUUUCAGUAUCAGCUCUAAAUUCAUUCCUGUUCCUUAUCAUUGAUGGACUAAAUUUUAAUAGGUGUGAUUAGAACUUAACAUGCAUCUCAUGGCUUGCUUUUAUCUUCCUGUUAUUCCUUUAGUGUUUAGUUUUUGUCCCGUUAGCAUUUUUGCAUGUAAUCCUGUAAUCUCAUUAAUCAUAAAUUAAUAUUGCAUCAGGUUCCAUGCUAUAAUUUGUUUUGCCAGUCCCCUAUUUGAGAGCAUUUGAGUUGUUUACAGCUUUCAUUAUUUAAAUAAAGUUGCCAGAAGCUUUGUGUGAAAUUUUUUUUUAGUUAUUCCUUGGGGUUGUAUUCUCAAAGAUGGGAUUAUCUAUCUUAAAGAAACUUGGAGUUUUGUGGCUUUUGGUAUGUGUUACCAGAUUAUUCUUAAGAAAUAACCAAUUUAGGGGGCACUGGGUGGCUCAGUCGGUUAAGCGUCCAACCUCGGCUCAGGUCAUGGUCUCACAGUUUGAGUUCGAACCCUGUGUCAAACUCCAUGCUGACAGCUCAGAGCCUGGAGCCUGUUUCAGAUUCUGUGUCUUCCUCUCUCUCUGCCCCUCCCCCACUCGUGCUCUGUCUCCGUCUCUCAAAAAGAAAUAAAUGUUAAAAAAAAUAAUAAUUUAUGGGGGCUCUUGAAUGGCUCAGUUGGUUGAGCAUCUGACUUGAUUUUUGUUUCGGUCUUGAUCCCAGGGUCCUGGGAUGGAGCCCCGUGUCAAGCUCUGUGCUGAGCUUGUGGCCUACUUAAGAUUCUCUCUCUUUUCCUCUGCCCCUCUCCCCUGCUCAUUCUCCCUUUCUCACUUUAAAAAAAAAAAACAAAAAAAAACCUUUUUAGGGCAUCUGGGUGGCUCAGUCAGUUAAGCGUCUGACUUCAGCUCAGGUCAUGAUCUCACAGCUUGUGGGUUUGAGCCCCGCAUUGAGCUGUGUGCUGACAGCUCAGAGCCUGCUUAGGAUUUUGUUUCCCUCUCUCUCUGCCCCUUCCCCACUCACACUCUGUCUCUUUCUCAAAAAAUAAAUAAACAUUAAAAAAAAAUAUUUCUAGUCAGUUUUGAAUAUUUUAGAAAUUUGGGGUGCCUGGGUGUCUCAAUCGGUUAAGUGUCUGACUCUUGAUCUCAGCUCAGGUCAUGAUCUCACAGUUCGUGAAUUUGACCCCCAAGCUCUGCAUCUAGCACUGCGGUGAUGGUGCAGAGCCUGCUUGGGAUUCUGUCUCCUCCUCUCUGUCCUUCCCUACUUGUGCUGUCUCUUGUGUGCACUCUGUGUCUCUCUC